CCUACGGGUGGCAGCAGUGAGGAAUAUUGGUCAAUGGGCGCGAGCCUGAACCAGCCAAGUCGCGUGAAGGAUGAAUGCUCUACGGGUUGUAAACUUCUUUUAUAAAGGAAUAAAGUGAGGCACGUGUGCCUUUUUGUAUGUGCUAUAUGAAUAAGGAUCGGCUAACUCCGUGCCAGCAGCCGCGGUAAUACGGAGGAUCCGAGCGUUAUCCGGAUUUAUUGGGUUUAAAGGGAGCGUAGAUGGGUUGUUAAGUCAGUUGUGAAAGUUUGCGGCUCAACCAUAAAAUUGCAGUUGAUACUGGCAGCCUUGAGUACAGUUGAGGUAGGCGGAAUGCGUGGUGUAGCGGUGAAAUGCAUAGAUAUCACGAAGAACUCCGAUUGCGAAGGCAGCUUACUAAACUGCAACUGACAUUGAUGCUCGAAAGUGUGGGUAUCAAACAGGAUUAGAUACCCCAGUAGUC
rnacentral:rRNA from 1 species